rnacentral:rRNA from 1 species
AUUGAACGCUGGCGGCAGGCUUAACACAUGCAAGUCGAGCGAGUGGCGGACGGGUGAGUAAUGUAUGGGGACCUGCCCGAUAGAGGGGGAUAACUACUGGAAACGGUGGCUAAUACCGCAUACUAUCGGAUGAACCCAUAUGGGAUUAGCUAGUUGGUGGGGUAAAGGCUCACCAAGGCGACGAUCUGUAGCUGGUCUGAGAGGAUGAUCAGCCACACUGGGACUGAGACACGGCCCAGACUCCUACGGGAGGCAGCAGUGGGGAAUAUUGGACAAUGGGCGCAAGCCUGAUGCAGCCAUGCCGCGUGUAUGAAGAAGGCCUUAGGGUUGUAAAGUACUUUCAGCAGGGAGGCGGUACCCGCAGAAGAAGCACCGGCUAACUACGUGCCAGCAGCCGCGGUAAUUC